ACAUGCCUACAACAUAGCGUUAAUGCACUGGAUCCCAUUAGAACUCCACAGUUAAGUGUGCUCGGGCUAGAUUAGUAUUGGGAUGGGUGACCGCCCAGGAAGUCCUAGUAUUUUACAUGCC
rnacentral:rRNA from 1 species